rnacentral:rRNA from 1 species
UACCAGCACCCCGAGUGGUCGGGACGAUUAUUGGGCCUAAAGCAUCCGUAGCCGGCCUUACAAGUCCUCCGUUAAAUCCAGCUGCUUAACAGAUGGGCUGCGGAGGAUACUAUAAGACUAGGAGGCAGGAGAGGCAAGCGGUACUCAGUGGGUAGGGGUAAAAUCCGUUGAUCCAUUGAAGACCACCAGUGGCGAAGGCGGCUCACUGGACCGGUAUUGACGCUGAGGUGCGAAAGCGUGGGGAGCAAACAGG